AUUGAACGCUGGCGGCAUGCCUUACACAUGCAAGUCGAACGGCAGCGCGGGAGCAAUCCUGGCUGCGAGUGGCGAACGGGUGAGUAAUACAUCGGAACGUGCCCAAUUGCGGGGGAUAACGCAGCGAAAGCUGUGCUAAUACGCCAAAAGCUCUAAGGAUGAAAGGGGGGGAUCGGAAGACCUUGCGCCAUUGCGGCGGCGGAUGACCGAUUAGGUAGUUGGUGAGGUAAAGGCUCACCAAGCCUUCGAUCCGUAGCUGGUCUGAGAGGACGACCAGCCACACUGGGACUGAGACACGGCCCAGACUCCUACGGGAGGCAGCAGUGGGGAAUUUUGGACAAUGGGCGAAAGCCUGAUCCAGCCAUGCCGCGUGCAGGAUGAAGGCCUUCGGGCUGUAAACUGCUUUUGUACGGAACGAAACGGUCUUUUCUAAUAAAGAAGGCUAAUGACGGUACCGUAAGAAUAAGCACCGGCUAACUACGUG
rnacentral:rRNA from 1 species